UCAUAUCUAUCCUUGUCGUCCACUAAUUGCCCUUUCGCGUAUCGUGCAUGCGCACUAAAAUUGUUUCGUUUUCUGACACCGAGAGGGAUUCCAAAAUGGAAUUAAAGGAUCACGGAAAUCAUAACCGCGAGCUUUAUACCCUACAAAUUCCAACGGGUUCUUCGAUCGAUGGUGAAGACAUGGCAGAACAAAAAAGACAAAAAGAACAGGAGAAAGUGAAAACAAAUAAGAAUUUUGAUAUUGUUUACGGAAUCAAUGAUGUACCGCCAUGGUAUUAUGCAUCUUCUUUGGAUUUCAGCAAUAUCUGACAGCUUUUGGUUCCAACUUCACCCCGCCUUUGAUAAUUUCCGCUGCUCUUUGUAUGUCUACCGAUGUCAUUUCUGUCAGUGAACUUAUGGGGACAAGUUUCUUCAUUUCUGGUUUAUCCACCAUUUUAAUGACCACUUUUGGAUGCAGACUUCCAAUUUUGCAAGGAGCCAGCUUCAGUUUCCUUAUACCAACCAUAACAAUGUUAAAAUCAAACCCUGAAUCAUGUCCCUAUUUAGACAAUUCCAAGAACAUCAGCAAUCUACCGGAAAUCGGAAGUGAUGGUCACAGAGAAAUUUGGCAGAAAAAUAUGAGACAACUUCAAGGUUCUCUGAUGGUCGCAAGCCUAUUGCAGAUAGUGGUUGGAUUCUCAGGGUUACUAGAGUUUUUUCUGCCCCUCAUUGGUCCUUUGACGAUAGCACCAACGAUCACAUUAAUUGGACUGUCAUUGUUUCAAGCGGCCACCAACACUGCUUCCGGUCAGUGGUACAUUGCUAUGACAGUGGUCGCUUUGAUGGUGAUAUUUUCCCAGUAUAUGCAAAAUAUACCGAUUCCUUGUGGCAAAUACAGUAAGGACAAAGGCUGUACCAGAAUCAACUUCCAUAUCUUCAAAAUGUUCCCGGUGGUCCUUGCUGUCUGUGUGGUCUGGUUCCUCUGUUUCAUUUUCACAAUCACUGACGUUUUCCCUGCCACGUCAGGUCAUUGGGGGCACAAGGCUCGAACUGACAACACCUACAAGUAUCUCCAGCAGGCAGCCUGGUUCCGGUUUCCGUAUCCAGGUCAGUGGGGGGUACCAACGGUGAGUCUUGGAGGAGUUCUUGGUAUGAUAUCUGGCGUUUUGGCAUCAAUGAUUGAAUCCAUUGGAGAUUACUAUGCAUGCGCACGCAUAUCUGGAGCCCCACCACCUCCAGCCCAUGCCAUCAACAGGGGAAUCGGUGUAGAAGGGAUCGGCUGUCUGUUGGCCGGUGCCAUCGGAGGAAGCGGUGGUGUCACAUCUUACAGUGAAAAUAUUGGGACAAUUGGCAUCACAAAGAUCGCCAGCCGUAUUGUCAUCUUCACGAGUGGAAUCAUUAUGAUGGUGUUGGGAUGUUUUGGAAAAUUUGGCAUUUUAUUGGUCACUAUGCCAGACCCAAUUGUUGGGGGAAUGUUCCUCGUGAUGUUUGGAAUGGUAGCUGCAGUCGGUAUUUCCAAUUUGCAACACGUUAAUUUAGAAUCUUCACGGAAUUUGAUGAUUCUUGGAGUAUCCUUGUUUGUUGGAUUAUCUCUGCCCUUAUGGAUUCAGGCAAAUCAAGCUGACGUUAAAACAGGAAGUGCUCAACUGGACCAAGUUCUUAGAAUUCUUCUGAGUUCCAAUAUGUUUGUCGGAGGUUUUAUUGGGUUUGUUUUAGACAACACAAUCCCAGGAACUCCUGAAGAACGCGGAAUUAUCAAAUGGGACAAUAUUGUUGAUAGCAAAGCUGAAAAUAUUUCCGAGUCCUAUGAUACGUACUCAUUCCCACGACCAAUACAGAAACUUGUUGACAGGUGGAAUUGGCCUGUUUACGUACCCUUUUGUCCAUCUUAUAAUUCCUACAUCUCCAGGCUCGUCAAACGUAUGGCUGCCUGCUGUUCGUGCCGCAAAAAACCAACUGAACCUGUGGCAGCAUAAUCCAUUGAAGCUAUGUUGUAGCCGUGGUUUCUGAUAAUUUUGUUUACAUAUUCACUUAAUAUAUAUAUAUAUAUAUGUGUGUGUGUGUGUAUGUAUGUAUAUGUGUGUGUGUGUGUGU